UACGAAGGGGGCUAGCGUUGCUCGGAAUCACUGGGUGUAAAGGGUGCGUAGGCGGGUUUUUAAGUCAGAGGUGAAAUCCUGGAGCUCAACUCCAGAACUGCCUUUGAUACUGAAAGUCUUGAGUAUGGGAGAGGUGAGUGGAACUGCGAGUGUAGCGGUGAAAUGCGUAGAUAUCAGGAGGAACACCGGUGGCGAAGGCGCACACCUGGCCCGAUACUGACGCUGAGGCGCGAAAGCUAGGGGAGCAAACGGG
rnacentral:rRNA from 1 species